ensembl:lncRNA
CAUUUACUUUGAGUAAUGUAUUUAGCUCUUAGAGAUUGAGGUGGUAAAGCCAAAAAAGGUACUUUGCAAAGUCCCAAGUUACUCCUCUUAAGAGUUAUAAUUUCCUUAAGAAAGGAUCUGUCAAAAAAGAAUCAGGAGAGGGGAGAGGAAGGAGACAGAAACAUCUCAAUUUGAACUCUGCAGACCCAAGUAUUUUGAUUAACUCUCUCCAGUCACCUUCUGAAGCUGUAAAACCCACCCUGGGUGACCAACCUGGGCUGCAACCAGCCGAUCACUGCCUGCCCCUACCACCAUGGAGGCAUUACCAUCAGCCUGCAGUUCCUGCUCCAGCACCUCGUGGGUCCAAGUCCUCCAUUCAGUUGCUCUUCAUCCUCAUACACGUCAGUAAGAGCCCUCCCACAGCCGCUGGCUGGUGCUUGCACUUGGGCUAUUUAGAAGGAGAUAUGAGACUGCAGCCAGAGGGAAUCCUCCUGGAUGAUCCAUCUCUGCAAGCACGGACAAGGCCAGCAGCAGUGAGUUCAAGACUAGCAUCUUGCACUGCUCCCAAAGGGUUCUGGAUCUAGUCCCAGCUACUUCUCUUCUUCCAGGACAGCAUGGUCAGACAGCACUGGAAAGCAUAAUGUAUUCCCUUUGGGAGCAGAACCAAAUGAUGCAGCAAUAGAAACUCCCAAGUCUUUUGCACAAAGCAACUUGUCAAUGGGAGCCCCACAAGCUCACCCAAUGAAAAAAAAGACUAAUCCAUUUCCAGUCCUGCCUUCCUGAACAUGAGAGAUGCAGCCUCAGCCCUCUGCACAGAGAAUCUGCAUUAACUAUAGGACAGAACUUUAAAUAAAGCCAGGCAAACAUUCCUUCUGAUCCAUCAAGAAGUGGCAUUGACAAAGAGGAAGGCAAACGAAGAGCCCAUGGGACACAGGAGGUCUGGGCCUGAGAAAUGCAAUGGGCCUGCAAAGCACUGAUGGCAAAGUUUUUAAAAUAAAAAAAAAUUACUGUGGAAAGAUGCCAGCACUCCAAAGCAGUUCUUGAGGUAGUAUAAAUCACCAUAACAUUACUGUGCCUAAUUUAUGACAGCUACAGGCGGCACCAGGGACUCUCACUGCUGUGUGCUCUGGCAGAAGAGAAAUUCAGGUAUAGCAGUGAGGUGCCAGCACAGACACUUUUACACUGGGCGGGUGUUGGGAGGCAAAUGGCAACAUCACCAGCACAACUUCAGUGUUCAGCUGUCUGAGAAUUUGAAAAGGAAAAAGCCUUUUUUUUUCUUUUUCCACCUCAUAAACUACUCAUAGCACUGAUGAGGAAGACAGAACCUGAGUGCACAUUUUUGGAAAGCACAUUUGAUUAUCUUCUGGAAAAAAUUAGUCUCUCUCUGAACAUGAGACUGUUUCAUGCCAGAGUAAAGAGCACAGAAACCCACAUAUAUGAUACUUCAUUGCUCUGUAGCCAAUUUUGUUGAUUAGUCAUUAGGAUAUGAGAAGAAAAUAGUUAAUGUGCUGUAACCAAUCUGCAAAUGUUAUAAAAUCUGCAAUCAUAUGGAACUAAUUUUAAGUGAAAUGGGAUGAUCUACAAAUUACAGGCAUAGGAUUACUACAAAAGGCAUGGAGAAAAGCAGGCAGGAAGGCAACAAGCAGAUCAAUAUCCUGCUGAGGAUGAACAAUGGUUAGGAGAACAAGGCAGCUCACACACUCAAAGAAAAUUAUUUUUGAGAACUGAUACAAAAUGAAUGCUGACUAAAUUUAAGAUGUCUGAAGACUCAUUCACUACCAAAUAGGGUACCAACAAUACCACCUUUGCAAGAGUCAGCAGGACAGCCACUAGCCAGCAGGAUGGCUUGGCCUUCAGCUUGAAUGGAUGUGGGGAUGCGGGACUGCUGCUAAACCCUUUUGUGAGUGGGAGCUCAUCAGCCAUCAAAUUCCUGGGGAGCUACAGGUCCUGGAGGCUUCCCUGAACAUCUUGCUUUCACUGCCAUCCUUUAGGAAAUUUUUCUCACCUCAGCUCUGACAUAUAUGGUGUGGCAUGUGCAGCCACAUGGAGACUUUGGGGCACAGCUCGAAUACUCACUUCAGCAAGAAGCCCAUUUUGUCCUAAGAAAACAACAAUGGGGAUAUUCCCAUGCCCCUUUAAAAUGGCAAGGCAAAAAUCAUCAGCUGGCAAGGUUAAAAUUGCAAAGCAAAUGCAGACUUUGGGACUCGUGUUCUGUUUCUUCCCUUCCUUUAAAUCAUAAACACAUUUGAAAACAAAGACAUAAUGAAAAUGAAUUUGUAGAAGUAGCACUUGCCCAAAGGUCUGAUGUUGUGCUGUAUUUUGCUCAUUUUUCAAUCCUGUUUCUUGUCCAAAUUUAUACAGCCAUUUGUACUCCCCCUCUCCUUAGAACCCAUAUUUAUAAUCCUGCCUUGAGAUGCUCAUCUAUCAGCCCAGAAAGCAAGACAGUCAUCCUAUUCUUCAAAUGCCCAUCCAGACCUUGGGAGGAAGGUGUGGACUGGGAGGGAAAGGAGAAAAAAGCACUCUUCCUUUUGCUUCCACACUGGUUAUAAACUAUAGAGGAUGCUAAUAUCUAUCAGGGAAACAUCUCACACUCCUGCCCCUUUCCUUUUCCCCUCCUCAAGAACUUCACUUGUGACUCAGAGCCAUUUUUCAAAGACAGUGCCAUUUAGGGUCUCCAGCUAAAGCAGAUCUCCAAAGUAGUGUGUUAGCCUGGCAAUGAAGCCAGACUCUGAUCUCAGAGAAAAUUAAUUUAAGUCUACACUAAACUACUCCCCCCACUAGAAUAACAGAGGUGUGAGUGUCAUCAGCCUGAUCCCUGCCACAUUCUCUGGCCAGCCCAAUUCCCUGGCAUAUCUACCUGUUUCCUGCCUGACUGCUUCCUUUCACCAACAUCCAGGAACACCUGUGCACAGAAAGCUUCCCUAUGCCACCACCUGCCUAUUCCUAUUCCCCAGCAAAGCACGUACCUAUUAGUAGCUAUUAUCAACCGAUUAUUCUGAUGAAAUACAAAGAAAAAAAAAAAAAGGAUUUUCUUGAGCAGAUUGCUGUAAAAGCAAUCUCUUCCCCAUCAGUUCUCCCAAAUCACCCCACUCCUUUCUCACACACCUGCACAUAACUCACAAAAUGAAAACUCCUAAAGCACAGUAAAUUAUUUUACCUACUCCAUCCCUUCUACCUCUUAUCUGUUACUACAACCUUUUGCAAUAGGGGUGCAUUAAAAUCUGAUUUUAAACAUGAAGCUGUAGUCUGUGGUCAUUCUCUUCAGUCAAAAUAUAAACAUAGGAAGCUACAGAUACACAUUUUAUCACAGCAAUGG